rnacentral:rRNA from 1 species
CUGAGUAAAGCGGCGGACGGGUGAGUAAUGCUUGGGAAUCUACCUAGUAGUGGGGGAUAACGUGUGGAAACGCACGCUAAUACCGCAUACGUCCUACGGGAGAAAGCAGGGGACCUUCGGGCCUUGCGCUAUUAGAUGAGCCCAAGUCGGAUUAGCUAGUUGGUAGGGUAAAGGCCUACCAAGGCGACGAUCCGUAGCUGGUCUGAGAGGAUGAUCAGCCACACUGGGACUGAGACACGGCCCAGACUCC